GGAGUUUGAUCCUGGCUCAGGAUGAACGCUGGCGGCGUGCCUAACACAUGCAAGUCGAGCGAUUUACUUCGGUAAAGAGCGGCGGACGGGUGAGUAACGCGUGGGUAACCUGCCCUGUACACACGGAUAACAUACCGAAAGGUAUGCUAAUACGAGAUAAUAUACUCUUAUCGCAUGGUAGAAGUAUCAAAGCUCCGGCGGUACAGGAUGGACCCGCGUCUGAUUAGCUAGUUGGUAAGGUAACGGCUUACCAAGGCGACGAUCAGUAGCCGACCUGAGAGGGUGAUCGGCCACAUUGAAACUGAGACACGGUCCAAACUCCUACGGGAGGCAGCAGUGGGGAAUAUUGCACAAUGGGCGAAAGCCUGAUGCAGCAACGCCGCGUGAGCGAUGAAGGCCUUCGGGUCGUAAAGCUCUGUCCUCAAGGAAGAUAAUGACGGUACUUGAGGAGGAAGCCCCGGCUAACUACGUGCCAGCAGCCGCGGUAAUACGUAGGGGGCUAGCGUUAUCCGGAAUUACUGGGCGUAAAGGGUGCGUAGGUGGUUUCUUAAGUCAGAGGUGAAAGGCUACGGCUCAACCGUAGUAAGCCUUUGAAACUGGGAAACUUGAGUGCAGGAGAGGAGAGUGGAAUUCCUAGUGUAGCGGUGAAAUGCGUAGAUAUUAGGAGGAACACCAGUUGCGAAGGCGGCUCUCUGGACUGUAACUGACACUGAGGCACGAAAGCGUGGGGAGCAUACAGGAUUAGAUACCCUGGUAGUCCACGCCGUAAACGAUGAGUACUAGCUGUCGGAGGUUACCCCCUUCGGUGGCGCAGCUAACGCAUUAAGUACUCCGCCUGGGAAGUACGCUCGCAAGAGUGAAACUCAAAGGAAUUGACGGGGACCCGCACAAGUAGCGGAGCAUGUGGUUUAAUUCGAAGCAACGCGAAGAACCUUACCUAAGCUUGACAUCCUUUUGACCGAUGCCUAAUCGCAUCUUUCCCUUCGGGGACAGAAGUGACAGGUGGUGCAUGGUUGUCGUCAGCUCGUGUCGUGAGAUGUUGGGUUAAGUCCCACAACGAGCGCAACCCUUGCCUUUAGUUGCCAGCAUUAAGUUGGGCACUCUAGAGGGACUGCCAGGGAUAACCUGGAGGAAGGUGGGGAUGACGUCAAAUCAUCAUGCCCCUUAUGCUUAGGGCUACACACGUGCUACAAUGGGUGGUACAGAGGGCAGCCAAGUCGUGAGGCGGAGCUAAUCCCUUAAAGCCAUUCUCAGUUCGGAUUGUAGGCUGAAACUCGCCUACAUGAAGCUGGAGUUACUAGUAAUCGCAGAUCAGAAUGCUGCGGUGAAUGCGUUCCCGGGUCUUGUACACACCGCCCGUCACACCACGGGAGUUGGGGGCGCCCGAAGCCGGAUUGCUAACCUUUUGGAAGCGUCCGUCGAAGGUGAAAUCAAUAACUGGGGUGAAGUCGUAACAAGGUA
rnacentral:rRNA from 1 species